UACGUAGGGUGCGAGCGUUGUCCGGAAUUAUUGGGCGUAAAGAGCUUGUAGGCGGUUUGUCGCGUCUGCCGUGAAAAUUCGAGGCUCAACCUCGAACUUGCGGUGGGUACGGGCAGACUAGAGUGUGGUAGGGGAGACUGGAAUUCCUGGUGUAGCGGUGAAAUGCGCAGAUAUCAGGAGGAACACCGAUGGCGAAGGCAGGUCUCUGGGCCACUACUGACGUGAGAAGCGAAAAGCAUGGGGAGCGAACAGG
rnacentral:rRNA from 1 species